rnacentral:rRNA from 1 species
AAAGCGUGCGCAGGCGGUUAUGUAAGACAGAUGUGAAAUCCCCGGGCUCAACCUGGGAACUGCAUUAGUGACUGCAUAGCUGGAGUACGGCAGAGGGGGAUGGAAUUCCGCGUGUAGCAGUGAAAUGCGUAGAUAUGCGGAGGAACACCGAUGGCGAAGGCAGCCCCCUGGGUCAAAACUGACGCUCAUGCACGAAAGCGUGGGGAGCAAACAGGAUUAGAUACCCCAGU